GAUGAACGCUAGCUACAGGCUUAACACAUGCAAGUCGAGGGGAAACGAUAGGGAAAGCUUGCUUUUUCUAGGCGUCGACCGGCGCACGGGUGAGUAACGCGUAUCCAACCUGCCCAUCACUUGGGGAUAACCUUGCGAAAGUAAGACUAAUACCCAAUGACGUCUCUAGAAGACAUCCGAAGGAGAUUAAAGAUUUAUCGGUGAUGGAUGGGGAUGCGUCUGAUUAGCUUGUUGGCGGGGUAACGGCCCACCAAGGCGACGAUCAGUAGGGGUUCUGAGAGGAAGGUCCCCCACAUUGAGACUGGGACACGGUCCAAACUCCUACGGGAGGCAGCAGUGAGGAAUAUUGGUCAAUGGACGAGAGUCUGAACCAGCCAAGUAGCGUGCAGGAAGACGGCCCUAUGGGUUGUAAACUGCUUUUAUAAGGGAAUAAAGUGAGUCUCGUGAGACUUUUUGCAUGUACCUUAUGAAUAAGGACCGGCUAAUUCCGUGCCAGCCGCCGCCGUAA
rnacentral:rRNA from 1 species